AGUGAACGCCGGCGGUAGGCCUAACACAUGCAAGUCGAACGGCAGCACAGUAAGAGCUUGCUCUUACGGGUGGCGAGUGGCGGACGGGUGAGGAAUACAUCGGAAUCUACUUUUUCGUGGGGGAUAACGUAGGGAAACUUACGCUAAUACCGCAUACGACCUACGGGUGAAAGCAGGGGAUCUUCGGACCUUGCGCGAUUGAAUGAGCCGAUGUCGGAUUAGCUAGUUGGCGGGGUAAAGGCCCACCAAGGCGACGAUCCGUAGCUGGUCUGAGAGGAUGAUCAGCCACACUGGAACUGAGACACGGUCCAGACUCCUACGGGAGGCAGCAGUGGGGAAUAUUGGACAAUGGGCGCAAGCCUGAUCCAGCCAUACCGCGUGGGUGAAGAAGGCCUUCGGGUUGUAAAGCCCUUUUGUUGGGAAAGAAAAGCAGCAGGUUAAUACCCCGCUGUUCUGACGGUACCCAAAGAAUAAGCACCGGCUAACGUCGUG
rnacentral:rRNA from 1 species